AUUGAACGCUGGCGGCAGGCCUAACACAUGCAAGUCGAACGGCGGGGCGGACGGGUGUGUAAUGUCUGGGAGACUGCCUGGUAGUGGGGGGUAACGUUCGGAAACGGGGUCUAAUACCGCAUACUACCACAUGUGCCUCGGUAGGAUUAGCUAGUUGGUGGGGUAAAGGCCUACCAAGGCGACGAUCCGUAACUGGUCUGAGAGGAUGAUCAGUCACACUGGAACUGAGACACGGUCCAGACUCCUACGGGAGGCAGUAGUGGGGAAUAUUGGACAAUGGGCGAAAGCCUGAUGCAGCCAUGCCGCGUGUGUGAAGAAGGUCUUCGGAUUGUAAAGCACUUUAAGUGGGGAGGCGUUACCAGCAGAAUAAGCACCGGCUAACUCCGUGCCAGCAGCCGCGGUAAUUC
rnacentral:rRNA from 1 species